CGGUAACUCCAGCUCCAAUAGCGUAUACUAAAGUUGUUGCAGUUAAAAAGCUCGUAGUUGGAUUUCUGCGGGGACGGAGCGGCCGGUCGCAACUUGCGACUCGAGCUAGCGCUUUCCCCGCAUCCUGCCGCGAACCGUGCUACCAUUAGUUUGGUGGCGCUGGGGAUCGGCUCGAUUACUUUGAGAAAAAUAGAGUGUUCAAAGCAGGCCACACGCCUUGAAUAAGUUAGCAUGGAAUAAUGACUAAGGACUUUGGUUCUUUUCGUUGGUGUUCGGGACUGAAGUAAUGAUUGAUAGGGACAGUUGGGGCGGUCCGUAUUCCAAAGCGAGAGGUGAAAUUCUUAGACCUUCGGAAGACGAACAGCUGCGAAAGCGUUCCGCAAGGAUGUUCCCUUUGAUCAAGAACGAAAGUUGGGGGAUCGAAGACGAUCAGAUACCGUCGUAGUCUCAACUAUAAACUAUACCAGCUAGGGAUCGGCCAACGUUUAAUUAUUCGACUUGGUCGGCACCUUAUGAGAAAUCAAAGCAUCUGGGUUCCGGGGGGAGUAUGGUCGCAAGGCUGAAACUUAAAGGAAUUGACGGAAGGGCACCACCAGGCGUGGAGCCUGUGGCUUAAUUUGACUCAACACGGGAAAACUUACCAGGUCCAGACAUAGGAAGGAUUGACAGAUUGAUAGCUCUUUCUUGAUUCUGUGGGUGGUGGUGCAUGGCCGUUUUUAGUCGGUGAAGUGAUUUGUCUGCUUAAUUGCGUUAACGGACGAGACCCCAGCCUGCUAAAUAGCGCGGCCGAGCUUUGCUCGGUACGAGCUUCUUAGAGGGACCAUGAUGCGCGAUAGCACAAGGAAGUUUGGGGCAACAACAGGUCUGUGAUGCCCUUAGAUGUUCUGGGCCGCACACGGGCUACACUGGCGCCUGCAACGAGCAUAUCAGCUGGCCCGAGAGGGUCUUGGCUAAUCUUUGGAACCGGCGCCGUGCUUGGGAUUGACCAUUGCAAUUGUUGGUCAUGCAACGAGGAAUGCCUUGUAAACGCGAGUCAUCAGCUCGCAUUGAAUACGUCCCUGCCCUUUGUACACACCGCCCGUCGCUCCUACCGAUGAAUGUUCCGAUGAAAUUUUCGGAGAGCGCCGGAGAACGGGGCUCUGCCCUGCAGAACUGGAGGCUCAAAGUCACUUAAAUCUGAACAUUUCGAGGAAGGAGAAGUCGUAACAAGGUAACC
rnacentral:rRNA from 1 species